rnacentral:rRNA from 1 species
AGCAGCCGCCACGGGAAUACGAAGGGUGCAAGCGUUACUCGGAAUUACUGGGCGUAAAGCGUGCGUAGGCGGCUUUUUAAGUCGGAUGUGAAAUCCCUGAGCUUAACUUAGGAAUUGCAUUCGAUACUGGGAAGCUAGAGUAUGGGAGAGGAUGGUAGAAUUCCAGGUGUAGCGGUGAAAUGCGUAGAGAUCUGGAGGAAUACCGAUGGCGAAGGCAGCCAUCUGGCCUAAUACUGACGCUGAGGUACGAAAGCAUGGGGAGCAAACAGGAUUAGAGACCCCAGUAGUCCCUGUCUCUUAUAA